AUUGAACGCUGGCGGCAGGCUUAACACAUGCAAGUCGAGCGGAGAGAGGUAGCUUGCUACUGAUCUUAGCGGCGGACGGGUGAGUAAUGCUUAGGAAUCUGCCUAUUAGUGGGGGACAACAUUUCGAAAGGAAUGCUAAUACCGCAUACGUCCUACGGGAGAAAGCAGGGGAUCUUCGGACCUUGCGCUAAUAGAUGAGCCUAAGUCGGAUUAGCUAGUUGGUGGGGUAAAGGCCUACCAAGGCGACGAUCUGUAGCGGGUCUGAGAGGAUGAUCCGACACACUGGGACUGAGACACGGCCCAGACUCCUACGGGAGGCAGCAGUGGGGAAUAUUGGACAAUGGGCGCAAGCCUGAUCCAGCCAUGCCGCGUGUGUGAAGAAGGCCUUAUGGUUGUAAAGCACUUUAAGCGAGGAGGAGGCUACUUUAGAUAAUACCUAGAGAUAGUGGACGUUACUCGCAGAAUAAGCACCGGCUAACUCUGUGCCAGCAGCCGCGGUAAUAC
rnacentral:rRNA from 1 species